rnacentral:tRNA from 1 species
AAGAGUCUAGUUUAAAAAUUAAUUAAAACAUUAGAUUGUCAAACUAAAAUUACUGUUAAAGUGAUUCUUU